CCCGCUAGUCACUUAUAACGGAGGAGGCAAAUGGCAGCCCGCAGCAGCAGCGGGCGCAUGAGGGAAGAUGGCCGCACGCCAGCACGGCCGCGUCCUGCCGCCCUUCCAGAGGGACACGGGGGUGGGCUCGGGGCCGGGCCGGGGACUGCAGCGGGCAUCACCGGGAGGUUUGUUUGUGUUGUGUAACCAGGGCUCGGCACGCGCGUUGGGUAACGCCGCCGACAUUUCACCUACUUUCAAGCCACUGCUGCGACGAAUCCGUUUGGCCCCAAGUUGUUUUCGCCUCCAAGGAAAGUACGUUUGCACGGCGGAGCCUCCCCACCCUCUCGCCGUAAUUCCCCGGGGCGGACGAGGAGGGAGACGGGGAUUAAAGAGUCGCAGGGACCAAGGAGCCUCUGAAGAUAUAAUCUCAUUAUCUGGAAGCACUUGCAUGAGGAACGGUUAGUUUUACGGAAGGAGAGCUGCUGCAAAAGAGAGAGAGACCUGACUUGGGUACUGAUUUGUGCCUUCCUGGUGCAGAUUUGUCAGCACAGAGCGUUCCCACAGGGCCAGCAGGCCAGGCCAAAGGGGGUGGAAAGGAGAGAAUCAAUACAGCUGCCAUCCUUUAUUGGGAGGAAUCUACAGAUCUCACCUUGAUUUACUGGGGAGAUCGAUAUCUCAACCUUCAUUAAAGUGGGUGCUAUGUUGGACUGGAUAAGGCUCACCUGCUGCGAGAGCAAAUUGUGUGCGGAUGCCUGUCCGCAUAUGUGGAGAUCAUUCAGCGUGGUCUUCGUGUACUCAAGGCUGGAUGCUGUACAGUUCGCCAGCUACCGCAGGGCUGCAUGCAGUUAGCUCAGCACCAGGCCUGGAAAGACAGGGGCUGUGCUCCAAAAGCCACCUUCUUUACCGACUUCUGGAAUGGGAGCGCUCCUGCUGGACCCAUCAGCUUAGUCCAAUUAUUCUGUUGCCUUGUUUCUGAAACUGGCUCCAAUGGAUGCUUAUGGGGAAGAGGAACAUGCUGCUGAAAGCAGAUGGGUUGAUGCUGUGAGUCCUGGAUUUACUUCCUGUGGGGUGACGAAAGGCACAGAUCAAAGUUUUGAAGCUUGGACACAGCAGCAACGGCAGACAUAGCCCAGUGGUAUCCGCCACCACCAUACCAGAGGAGACAGAAGGAAGUCCCCGGUCCCAUUCCUCAACAGGAGCACACAAGCUCUUUAGCAGCCAUGUUCAUGACUGGACCAUGUGCAGGCCUUGAGCAGAACCCACACUGAUACAAACACCAUCCAGACCCUCCAACUGAGGAAGAACUGAAGCAUGGAGGAAGAGAAACCCAGAUUCAAAAGCUAUUUAGACACCUAAUGAUGCAGUGAGAUACCAGCUGGCAUUUCCAGAAAGCACUGUUUAGGCAGCUAGGAGACCAGCACAAGUCCGCUCCACAUCUGCCUACAGCCAAGCAGCAACCAGCAGGGUGGAAGCAGACAGGUCACCUGGGGAGCAGCAAGGGCCCUGUGUCAGCUGCUUCAUGAGAGCACCUUGCUGCCUGCUUCUCACUGUCAGCAAACAUGAGGCACUCUGAGGCUAAUGAAGGAGGAAUGUCUGCUAACGAAGCAGGAGUGAACCAUCUCAGGUUUCGCAUGGCAUACGGGAGUGUGAAUGGUUAUGGCUCUGCUAAGCUCUGGCACAAAGACUUACUAACUGAGCAUUACAGUUCCUAGAAAGAAACCCAACAAACUGGGAAAAUAAAACAUUCUGACCUACUUUCAUCUCCAUUAACCUACUCCUUCCUUAAAAGGUUGGGCAGAGACAUUCACAUGUUGCUAGGCUCUAAGCAGCAGCUUUGCAGUCCUGGAUUCCAAUUGCAUGCAGCACAGCAGCGUGCUGUGGAUACAAAGACAGCCUCUCCCCACCCCCUCAGACAGGAGCCCCAAGAACUGGAAGGCUGCUGCUGCUGCUCUCUGCUGAACUCAGCUUCUGUGAGCACCUACGUGCAGGCUGGCAGGUCCCCCUGCACCCAGAAUGAAGCCCACCAACUUCUGCUAGGUCAGAGCUGGGCCUUCCAGAGCUGAGGCGCAGCUGGGCUUUGUCUAAACCACACUGACCAGCCCAUCGGAAUGAGGAUGAUGGUGUGGCAGAGUCAGAUCUCCAGGGAAAGAUGCAGUGGAUGAAGGGAGGCUAAAAAAGCCGAUGCACUUGACCUCUC
ensembl:lncRNA